rnacentral:rRNA from 1 species
AUUGAACGCUGGCGGCAGGCCUAACACAUGCAAGUCGAACGAGUGGCGGACGGGUGAGUAAUGUCUGGGAAACUGCCCGCUGGAGGGGGAUAACUACUGGAAACGGUAGCUAAUACCGCAUACCAUCGGAUGUGCCCAUAUGGGAUUAGCUAGUCGGUGGGGUAACGGCUCACCUAGGCGACGAUCCCUAGCUGGUCUGAGAGGAUGACCAGCCACACUGGAACUGAUACACGGUCCAGACUCCUACGGGAGGCAGCAGUGGGGAAUAUUGCACAAUGGGCGCAAUCCUGAUGCAGCCAUGCCGCGUGUAUGAAGAAGGCCUUCGGGUUGUAAAGCACUUUCAGCGGGGAGGCGUUACCCGCAGAAGAAGCACCGGCUAACUCCGUGCCAGCCGCCGCGGUAAUUC